rnacentral:RNase_P_RNA from 1 species
CAACUGGAACAGGCAGUUGCGGGCAAUGGGCGAAAGCCCCUGUCCGAGGAAAGUCCGGGCUUCACAGAGCAAAAAUAACGGCUAACGGCCGCCGGGGGCGACCCUAGGGAUAGUGCAACAGAAAAUUACCGCCGUAUUUAUACGGUAAGGAUGGAAAGGCGAGGUAAGAGCUCACCGAAACUGCGGAGACGCAGUUGUCGUGUAAACCCUAUUUGAAGCAACACCGUGGACGGACACAAGGCUUGCUCGGCUGUCCGAUGGAGGUGGCGUUGAGCCUUUGCGGUAACGCAAGGCCAAGAUAGAUGACUGCCGAAUACAUAACCCGGCUUACAGUUUCAGUAGUAUA